CACACCUCCUGGCCUCCGGAACUCUCUCACCAAGGUAGAACUCACACGUAGAAGCACACCACAUCACACACGCGCGGUGAGUGUGUACAGUCAAAUUGACACGUGCGAAAUGAGGAGAAUCGAGAGACGGACCCUCCCGCACGGUGUCCCUCCGCACUCUUCCUCUGAUGGCAGCCACUUCUGACUCAGCCUGGUUCUCCCUGCGUUUGCGCUUCGCGUAAAGUAAUUUCUAGAAUAAGUGUGUGCUCUCGUGUGGUUGUCCCUUUCUUCACUCAACAUUGCACCUAUCAAUUUUGUCCGUUUUUAUGUGUGAAUUUAGGUCCUCUGUUAUUAGUGUUGAGUACUUUAUUAUUAUAUAAUCUAAAGCAUGUAUGGUCUGUGAGUGGAUGCGUGCGUGUGCUUUACACAACCAUUUCAAUAUUUGAGCAAUUUCUGGGUGUUACUGCUCUGAACAUCCUAGUACAUGGGUUUGGGUGAAAAUAUGCACAGAAUUUUAUUUGGAAUAUAUUUCAAGGUGGGAUUGUUAGGUGCAGGUGAAGUGUGCAUACCUACACCUUUGCUAGGUGCCAGCUCUCACAGUUACUGCUGGGCAGUGUUAAUUUCAAUUCUUUUGAAUUUUAUUAAUCAUCUGUAAAAUCCUAUCAAUAAUUUUUGCUAUGCUUAGUGCCUAUUGGACUUUAUAGCCUGAUGCUGCCGGGGUAUAUACACUUUCUGAAGUGUGUGUGCCCGUGCAUGUGCGUGUGAACUCUUGAGGACAUUUAACAUCCCUUACACUAUACUCUUCUGGACUCGUGUUGUCUCUCUGGUUAUUGGUAGCUGUGAGACGCGGACAGGUGACUUAAUCGCUUCACACCGCAGCAUCCUCCCGCCAAGAUUUAGGCAAUGAUGGUUCUCUGUCACAGAUCUGAUGUAAAGAUCCAGGAAGUUGUCAGAGACAUUUCCGGAAGAGUGCAUGGCAUCGCACGGUGUCUAAAUGUGAUUGCUUCAUUAUUCCUCCACAAGGGCCCGAACAGAAUCUGUCCAAACAGCCAAGCCACUGUGGACCAUCAUCCUCCCCAGGAUCCAGCAAGCCCUCUCCCAGGAGCUCAUCCAGGGGAGAUGCAGCCAGGACCAGGAGGAGGCACCUGCACCGCUGGGUCUGGGCAGCAGGGUACAGUGACCGGGAUACAGAAGGAGCCUAUGUCUGUCCACAGAUGAGCACAUACAAAACACACGGAUAUCACCUGUCCAGCAGAUGAAAUCCAGCCAGGACCCCGGAUUUAGUCACCCACCCUUUGCACUGUUGCUUAGCUGUCUCUCUCCUCUUGUCUUUUCGUUUUUCUGUUCUUCCAGCCAUUUCCAAUUCCAAAUCUUUAUUGCUUCUCUAUGCAAAGCAAUUUUAUUUCCUCUGUUUUCUUCUCUCUUUUUACUGCAUGUCUUUGAGAUGUUUUUGUCCUUCUGUUUCUAAAAGACUAAAUCAAGG
rnacentral:lncRNA from 1 species